rnacentral:lncRNA from 8 species
AUGGCUGACGGAUGGAAGACACAGUGUGUGGCUCAGCUCAGGGGCAUCUCUGUUUCCUGGACAUCCAUUGCUCUUGCGUACAGUGAUAACCAGUGGGCCAUUGCCCCUCCCUGCUCCACUAAUCUCUGUUUGUGUAUAUACAUCACAGCUACAGAACAGGGUCCAUGGAGGACAGAAGAAUACUGAGAUGAUUUACAUGUGGAUGCCAAAUGAGGUCAUGGCCUCGUCCUCCUCAGAACAUUGACAACAUCACACCAGGGAAUGAUGUCUGUUGUGGACUACAGUACCAAGACUCAGAUGCUUCCAGUCAGGAGUCAGACAAUGAUACAGUAAGUAGGUUCUCUCAUUACUGAUCUACUGAGAGGUCAGGACCCAGAUUUUGUUUACACAAGCUGAAGCGACACUGCCCCCCCUCCCCCUCAGAAUGAGUGGGACCCUAAGACCAGAGGAUACAAUUAUAUUUGGCAUUGUCUCCAAUCUGUUGAUCAAAUCACAGAGGGUGUACAACAGUUUGAUUCCUAGCAAGGAUCAGCAGCACAUGCAGCUGAAAUAUAAAUGUUAGACUAUGCUAUCUCUUGAAAGUGGUGGGAUAUGGUUAUUGAAGGGCGAGGGUUUCAGUGAAUCUGACCACCCUAUAAAGGGAACAUUAAGGACUGUCGGGUGGUAAUCGGAAUCACAUACCCAAGGCUGAGGGAAACCAGGGGCAUGAAUUCAGUAAAACAUGUGAGCAAUCUUCUCACCGGGAGAGAGAACUGCCUUCCUGGCUGGCGGGUGAAUGGUUGAACUUUAGGCAGGCCUGUGAGACAGAUUUCCCCCUUGCUGCUUAUCUCCUACAGAAAAAUGCAUGGUGCUGCUCCAGUGUAAGCCGGUCCUAUAGGUUACAGUAAGGUCAUCUGUUUAAAUCAUUCUCCCAUUAUAUGGUGUGAUUUGACAAAGCUCAACUACUAAUGCAGUAAUGUAAAAUAUGUCUUGCUUGGGUUGUUUGUCAAGAGUGUAGUUUUCCAUCAAGGCAAAGGGGAUAGGCUAUGUAUAGGACACUUGUAUAUGAUCAAUUCUCAUGAUAGAUGUAUGACAGUAUGCCAUUUCUGCCCAUAAUGGUCUGUCUGGCAGUAGCUCCAUAAGUGACGUGUGUGUGCAUCCAUUUGCAGCAUUAGAUUAGACUGCUGCGCGGCGUGAAGCGACAAGACAGAUUAGAAGCUUUUCCCUCACACUUCAGGGGACAGAGU